GUUACGAAAUUUACAAUCAAGUCGAAGUGGAUUUUCAUCCUGGCUCUGUCGCUUGCUGGCUGCGUGCUCCCGGGAACUCGGGACCCCUGCCUCUCUUUGGCUACCGUGCAUAAAAUCCCGGAGAAAAUUAGUUAAAUAAUGAAGCGAGAAUAUGCAAUCAAGUGCAUGAUGUAUACACAAAGCAGGUGCUGGGUGAAUAUUUGUUGGAUUGAACUGGGCGUCCCCUUUUGCCAAAUUCUACACCUGGGAAAGCUCCCCAUUGGCGUUCUCCCUGUCCAUGGGCUCAUCAAAUGUCUUCUGUGACCUCCCUCUCGGGCCUUCUUUCUAGAGGCCAGAGCAACUCAUUGCAGGGCCUUUGAAGAGCCUUCUUUUUAAUUCGUCUCCAUGUACAGCAGGACUUAAUGGUUCCCAGGUGUGAACUUUGUGUGUGUUCCAGGUGUGUUCUUUGGCUUAUUAGAUUUCUAGACCAUGUCAAAUGUAUUGCCCGUCCUCCACUCUAUUUCAGUUUUCCACAGAGUUCUGUUGGAAGAGAAGUAUGACUUCCAGUUGCUAUUAAUGUUUAUCUUGGACAUUAACAUGAAACAACUUCCUCACUCUCUCCCAAAAGGAUUGAUUUUAUUUAGCAAACAAAUAACAUCAGGGAUCUCAAGUUCUUUGGGGAUGAAACAGAUUUCUGUUUCUUAUUCGGCCUUA